rnacentral:rRNA from 1 species
UACGAAGGGGGCUAGCGUUGCUCGGAAUCACUGGGCGUAAAGCGCACGUAGGCGGAUUGCUAAGUCAGGAGUGAAAUCCUGGAGCUCAACUCCAGAACUGCCCUUGAUACUGGCGGUCUCGAGUCCGGGAGAGGUGAGUGGAACUGCGAGUGUAGAGGUGAAAUUCGUAGAUAUUCGCAAGAACACCAGUGGCGAAGGCGGCUCACUGGCCCGGUACUGACGCUGAGGUGCGAAAGCGUGGGGAGCAAACAGG